UCAGCUCCCAUGUUCCAGUGAGAUUGUUUACAGAGUUCACACCAGAUUUGUGAAACAGGGAUUCCUUUUUGAGCUUUGAGAGUCGACAAAAGAUUUAAAAAAAGUUACUUGUACAGUGUUUUAUAAGGUUGUAACUGCACCGGUCCAAUGAAAUAAUGGCCACGCAACAUACAGAUGUCCUUGAAGAUUUAUUUUUAUUUCUCUCUCUCCUUCUUCAGUAGACACCGUGAAAACUACAAGAGAAUAAAAGUCAUAAAAGGCAGAUCCACCGUAUGAGGAAUUGAUGGAUGAACCAAGAUUGUGCUGUUCCCAUCACACAUUAAACUAUUGAUCAGGAGACCAG